GGAAGAAGAAGUCGUAACAAGGUUUCCGUAGGUGAACCUGCGGAAGGAUCAUUAGCGUAUGGUGGUUGUUGCCACCGGGAUACUUUGCAAACUGUGGAUUGGUUGAAUGUGAUUCUCGGCGCGUGCUUUUCGGCGCGUGCUGUGUAAUUUUGAUAAGAAGGAACGCAAGUUGGAUUUAUUUACAUUUUAUGUUAAACAAAAAACAACUCUUAGCAAUGGAUAUCUUGGCUCCCACAACGAUGAAGAACGCAGCGAAAUGCGAUACGUAGUGCGAAUUGCAGAAUUCAGUGAAUCAUCGAGUCUUUGAACGCAAGUUGCGCUCUCGAGAACCCUCGUGAGCAUGCCUCUCUGAGUGUCGGUUUCUGUCUCGCCCACGCUCCUAGCGAGUGUCGGUGCGGAGGAUGAGUCUCCUUCGCGCGUGUCUUGAAACUAGUCUAUGGUCCGUCGGAUUCGUGAUGUGUGCGUGUGCGGUGUGUUGUCUUGACAAUACAUUGAACUCAACCAACAGUCCGGAAUGGGAACGAAACAUUGUGCGCUCCAACCGCCAUGAUCUCAGAUGAGGUAAGACUACCCGCUGAACUUAAGCAUAU
rnacentral:rRNA from 1 species